UUCCUGAUUGGCCAGCCCCUCGUGUUCUCCCCACGCGUAUCCUCGUCUCUUUCCGCACGCCAACAUAGCCGAUCUCAGCGUCGGCAGAUCUGGUGAGCGUCGGGAGGAGAAGAACGAGCCUGCGAGGCGACGACCGUGGGGGAAUCGACCAGAUCCGCCGCGUGCCCGUCUGGAGGACGGGAACACGGUGACGGGGGCUGGUUCGACGCGCACCUCCGCCACCGAGCCUUGCAUCGCCGGCCACCGAGCCUUGCAUCGCCGGCCACCAUCCCCUCCCCUCACACGCCGCCACUGUCAAGAUAUAUCGGUGCGCCCCUCCUCACCGUCAGGCCGCAGG
rnacentral:lncRNA from 1 species